UCAAUGUUUAUGUUUACAAUGAUCAUGGCGAUAUGGUUAACGGAUGAUAGCUGAUUUUCAUUGAAAAUGGGCCAAAUUUUCAAUGAAAAAAUAGGGUGUGUUGGUGUCGGCGGUGGGAUAACAUCCUAAAGAGGGUUGGGUGUUUUGCUGCCAGAGCACAAUCUUCAUGGCGAAGAUUUGCCUGCAGUAAACCCUGUAAAUCCCGGGAAAUCCGUGCGAGCCAUCUUGCAUGAUGCAAGAUGCACUGCAGGUGAGUAAUAAAUCUGAUUAAAGUGCACAUAAAUAAUCCACUUAAACGUAAUCGAUCACAACCAGUGAUCGCAAGACUGACUCAAGGGUCAACAUUGGUUGACUUAAUGGGGGUUUGAUUUACCAGUCUUACCGUGAUGAGUGCUGGUUUAACACCCCAGUUCCUGCAACGGGAACUAUUGAUUGUGAUCAAUUGAUCCACAAUCAAACCAAGUGAAAAGUUGUCGUUAUUACAAAUUUUCCACGAAAAUUUUAUACGACACCUUUUCUAAAACUAAUGAUGCUUUUUAAUUCCCUUCCAGGCUAAGUUCGCUAACCGUUCUCCAAUUCAUUGGCGAUGACUAAGCGGUGGAAUGUGGGUGGAAACUGUGCAGUGACGUUCUGAGGACAUGACGAGAUGACUCCUCACAAACCCCUGCGUUCCGCUCCCGUUUUCCUGCUUCAUCACUACCUAUUGGUUUAAGAAACGAUUAUUGAAUUGCUAUUUAGGGUUAAAUAAAGCACCAUUCAGUUCUUA